rnacentral:lncRNA from 1 species
CUCGGUGAGGCGCUCUUCCAGCGGGCAGGCAGCAUGGCGGCCGUGGAGACGCGGGUGUGCGAGACAGACGGCUGCAGCAGUGAGGCCAAGCUCCAGUGUCCCACUUGCAUCAAGCUGGGCAUCCAGGGCUCGUACUUCUGCUCGCAGCAACGUGGAAGGAACCAGAGGCUGUUAUUCUAAGUGAAGUAACUCUGGAAUGGAAAACCAAGUACCAGGUCGUCUCGCUUACAAGUAGGAGCUAAGCUGAAUGUUUUAAAGGAAGUUGGGCUACUCACAAGUUACUACAUAAGAAAGCAAAAGAUGAAAAGGCGAAGCGAGAAGUGUCUUCCUGGACUGUGGAAGGUGAUAUUAAUACUGACCCAUGGGCAGGUUAUCGAUAUACUGGUAAACUCAGACCACAUUAUCCACUGAUGCCAACAAGGCCAGUGCCAAGUUAUAUUCAAAGACCAGAUUAUGCUGAUCAUCCCUUAGGAAUGUCUGAAUCUGAACAGGCUCUUAAAGGUACUUCUCAGAUUAAAUUACUCUCAUCUGAAGAUAUAGAAGGGAUGCGACUUGUAUGUAGGCUUGCUAGAGAAGUUUUGGAUGUUGCUGCCGGCAUGAUUAAACCAGGUGUAACUACUGAAGAAAUAGAUCACGCUGUACACUUAGCAUGUAUUGCAAGAAAUUGCUACCCUUCUCCCCUGAAUUAUUAUAAUUUCCCAAAGUCUUGUUGUACCUC